rnacentral:rRNA from 2 species
GACGUAGGGCGCGAGCGUUGUCCGGAUUUAUUGGGCGUAAAGAGCUCGUAGGCGGCUUGUCGCGUCGACCGUGAAAACUCGCAGCUCAACUGCGAGCCUGCGGUCGAUACGGGCAGGCUAGAGUUCGGUAGGGGAGACUGGAAUUCCUGGUGUAGCGGUGAAAUGCGCAGAUAUCAGGAGGAACACCGAUGGCGAAGGCAGGUCUCUGGGCCGAUACUGACGCUGAGGAGCGAAAGCGUGGGGAGCGAACAGG